GGGACAUCACCUGAUUAUCAGAUUAGAGAAUCAAAAGAUUGAAUGCUAGAAUAAGGUGCUAAACAACCGUAAGUCAUAAGUACUUGAUGUGAUUAAUGCAUUCAGUGGUUCUGAAGGAUGAAGUGGCUGAUCUGCUAAUAGGAAUGCAUCUCACUAGGAUGAGGUGUUGUGCCAGAAGCCCAGAAGCUAUCAGGUGUUGUACAUACUGUACUUUUGAACACAAAGAGCAGAUCUGGAAUUUGCAGACCAAGGACUCAUAUUUUAAUGCCACAUAAGUAGAUUUGAAUACUAAAUGGAUAGUCAAGUAGUUCUGUGAGCAAAAGAUCUAACAGUGCCUCAUUUUCUAUGUAGUAUCUUAGAGGAAAUGAAAACUACCUGCUGCAGCUGGGGUACUUACAAGGUGUCUCUUAGUUCAAUCUCCUCAGAUAAACUGGAAAUUUUCAAUAAUGGCAAUACAUUCAUUCUGCCAUUUGGAGGAGCCUGUGCCACAGAGUAAUGAUCUGAAGAAAGCUCACUUACUUGCAAAGAAGAGUCUUCAUUUGGGAAGUAGUUCUGAUGCGGCUAAGAGGUGCUUUGUCGAGUUCAGAACCUCCUGUUUGUGGUGAAAAUUGAGGUUUCCUCAAAGACAGUCCCAUAUCUGAAGAGUGAGAAGCACUAGGUCUUUGACAUUCAGUGGGAUGAGAAUCUCAGAACAGACUGACUACUGGGGACACCCAAGCUACAGUUCAGAGAGACGUCGCUUACCUUGUUCUUGGGACUCAUGAUCCAAGAGAUCUCUGAGAGAAGGCUCGUUGGCUGUGAGGACUGAUAUAUAGCUUACCUUGGGGCUUAACAGUGAUAGCAGGACUGGAUACCACCCAACAACUAUGCCAGAAACCAUUUUGGUUAGGUGUGGGUUGCUUGUCAGAAAUCUGUUCCGAAGCUUCAAUGUAAGGCAAGCAGGGUACUAAUGAUGGAUACGAAUGGAUGUCUUCAGGAUGACAAUGGAUGCAGCAUCUUCAAAAGCAGUUUUAUUCUGGCCCUCCUGCUGGAUUUGUUCAAAUGGACCUCGGUAGCCAUGGGGCCUGACUGAGUUGAUGGGACCCUGGAUGACUGCAAGUUUCUACUCUGAAGAUCUGAUUGUAGACCUCAACCUAAAUUUCUGUGUUAUUCCUCUAUUUCCUUCUAAUACGUGAAAAUUAUCCUAAAAAAUGGUAUUAUCUUUGAGUCUCCUGCACACCUACUUUAAUAGCAUUCAGACACUAUGUGCUUGGGAUGUUGUUACAGAUUGUUAAAAUAUUUCUGUUGUGUUAUGUGCCAAAACCUUGUGAUUGCUGUGAUUAUUGUGUUAUAUUUUUACAUUCAGUGGCUUCAUCACCUGUGUUUUCAGUCAUUGUGGUAUUUCUCUUAACUCAGAUUUGGAAGUCAGAGUAACUGUUGGAACUCUAUUCAGGUCACUUUUAAAGGUGUUAGUAGACUUGGUUUUAUUUGCUGAACACAAAUAAGAUCUACUUUAUUUUGCAAUGUGCUGUUUUCUUAGUAGCCUACUACUACUGAAAACUUUCAAUGUGAUGAUAUCCUGUGAUGCAGACCAAUAAAAUAAAUAGGAAAAGGCAUUAACCUUUA